CUGAGCUCGUUAGGGCAGAAUAGCACCAGGUGAAGCAAAUUCUUGCUAUUAGCAAGUCAAUACAGGGCUAUUUAACAGUAUCACGUGACUGCAUACACUGUUCAACUAAAGCGCAAUUAUGUUCUCUAACUAGUAACAACUGAGACAAAUUAAAGAGCGAUUAUCUGAACUAACGCACAACCAUGUUCUCUAACUAGCAACAGUUGAGACAAAUUAAAGAGCGAUUAUCUGAACUAACGCACAACUAUGUUCUCUAACUAACAACAGCAAAAACAAAUUAAGUAAAGAUACGCUUACCCGAAACGCGAAAUAGUAUCGACGACACAAUCAGAUGCACAGUUCAGGUUAGGAGAAGCGCAGUUCAGAAUCUGCAGCAUCCAUUGUUGAAUAUUAGAAAUAUUGCUGUUCUCGGUGAAGUAUUGCACAGCGUCAGUCAGAGACCCGUGUGCGUGCAUCAGUAUAACCACACACGCACACCAUCUCUGUGGACAAAGGAAGCAGGUUGUAUUCAACUAUAUUGAAGAGACAGAAGUUUUCAUGCAUUCUUACCGGGUGCCCCAUGGAGAUUGGAGAUUUUUACCACAGCUAUUUAAUUCAGCAGAGAAGAAUAAUUUCCACAUCUUGUCCACCUCAACAAUCAUUGUGUGCAGUGGCUAAAAAGAUGUGUUUGGAAGUAAUAUGCUCUGGCCCGCUUCCAGCUAGUAGGAGUGACCCCACUUUACACGGGCUGGCUCUUGAUAGGCGGGUGUGGUUGUCCCCUCAUGACUUCAUGGGCUCUCGAUCCCUGUCCUAGUAGCUAUGCAGCCACAGACUAUUCCUGGCGGGGCCCGAAUGUUAAUUGUGAUUCCCCAGUUCAUACUGUUGUCACUUUACCCACUGAUUGUUUUGUUUUAAUUCCCUAAUCGCCCCCAUCUCUAGGUUAACCCAAACUGGUAUGUAUCGCUUGUAUCUGAUCUGGGCGAGACUGGAGCAGGCCCCAAGAUGUAGACCCUUCUCAGGCUUGACUCGGUGGUUGGGCUACCUAGCGGUGUUAACAAAAACCACUUGGGUCUAGCAAGCUUCUACAUUGGACAGAUGGGCACAUCCUUCUCAACACAAGAUUCAGCACUUCAGCUUCACACAUGCCCCUCAAUAUAUUGUAUAAGUGUAUAUUUCAUCUUGCCACCAAACCUGGUUUUAAGUACAGGUAAGGAUCACCAUUGUGUGUUUGUACUGCCUCUUGUGUGUAGA